CCUACGGGUGGCAGCAGUGGGGAAUAUUGGACAAUGGGGGCAACCCUGAUCCAGCCAUGCCGCGUGUGUGAAGAAGGCCCUCGGGUUGUAAAGCACUUUCAGUGAGGAAGAACGCCUGGUGGUUAAUACCCAUCAGGAAAGACAUCACUCACAGAAGAAGCACCGGCUAACUCCGUGCCAGCAGCCGCGGUAAUACGGAGGGUGCGAGCGUUAAUCGGAAUUACUGGGCGUAAAGCGCGCGUAGGUGGCUUGAUAAGCCGGUUGUGAAAGCCCCGGGCUCAACCUGGGAACGGCAUCCGGAACUGUCAAGCUAGAGUGCAGGAGAGGAAGGUAGAAUUCCCAGUGUAGCGGUGAAAUGCGUAGAGAUCGGGAGGAAUACCAGUGGCGAAGGCGGCCUUCUGGACUGACACUGACACUGAGGUGCGAAAGCGUGGGUAGCAAACAGGAUUAGAUACCCUGGUAGUC
rnacentral:rRNA from 1 species